AUGGCAGGCGGCCCAUCAAACCUCGGCAAGAUCCAGUGCACUCGGCGUGCACAAGGCUCCGCGGCAGUGCUGGCAAUCGGAACGGCAAACCCAGUGAACCACGUGUCUCAAGAAGAGUUCCCUGACUACUACUUCUAUGUCACCAAGAGCGAGCACCUCACUGACCAUAAAGACACAUUCAAGACAAUAUGUGGUGCGAUUGGCACGGAGAAUCGUUUCUUUCAAUACACGGAGGAACAGCUGAACUCUUACCCUGACUUCCUGCUUCAACGCACGUUGCCAUCCCUUGAAGUUCGGCUUGAUAUUGUGGCUAGUGCUGCUCCACAACUUGCCGCAUCAGCCGCCAAGAAGGCCAUUGCAAAGUGGGGACGUCCGGCCACUGACAUCACCCACCUUGUCGUCAGCACCAACUCGGACGCCAGCGCCCCAGGCAUCGACGUACACUUGGUUUCACUUCUUGGCCUUCGCCUCAACAUCUGUCGUACGAUGCUCCAACUGAACGGCUGCUUCACUGGUAGCUCUGCUUUGCGCUUGGCAAAAGACCUUGCUGAGAACAACCGCGGAGCACGGGUCCUUGUGGUUUGCGUGGAGCUCUCCAUUGCUGGUUUCUGUGGCCCCGACGACCACUUAGACACCCUCAUUAUUCAUGCGCUGUUCGGCGAUGGGGCUGGAGCGGUCAUUGUCGGUGCUGAUACCAUGCACCCUGUCGAGCAGCCGAUGUUUGAGAUGGUGUCUGCCUCACAGACCAUCAUACCGGGCACCCAGCAUGUGCUUGGCGUGAAGAUGGGGAGCUAUGGUGUUGGUGGCAAAGUUUCCACCGAACUGUACAAACUGGUGGCAGACAACAUCGAGCCAUGCCUUUCGGAGGCAUUUGGUCCACUUGACAUGGGUGCCCAGUGGAAUGACCUCUUCUGGGCAGUUCACCCUGGAGCCCGUGGGAUAUUGGAUGGAAUCGACAAGAAACUCCAGUUGGAGCCCACAAAGCUAGCGGCGAGCCGAAGUGUUCUACGAAACUUUGGUAACAUGUUUAGCGCUACUAUCAUCUUCGUGCUGGAUCAGCUACGACGGCGAAUAGAGGAGGAAGGAGAGCGAGCAGAGUGGGGGGUCAUGCUCGGAUUCGGGCCAGGAUUCACUAUCGAGACGAUGGUGCUGCACGCUACCGGCGCUCUAAACAAAAACUAG
rnacentral:rRNA from 1 species